UGCAAAUUUCAGGGGAACUUACUGCAUGAAGUAAGUUGAGAGGUGAAAAUCACGACCCUUAGAACUUGACCCGGCCAACACCGGCGUAAGGAGAACUAGUGUAUAAAAA
rnacentral:ncRNA from 2 species